UACAGAGGGUGCAAGCGUUAAUCGGAUUUACUGGGCGUAAAGCGCGCGUAGGCGGCUAAUUAAGUCAAAUGUGAAAUCCCCGAGCUUAACUUGGGAAUUGCAUUCGAUACUGGUUAGCUAGAGUGUGGGAGAGGAUGGUAGAAUUCCAGGUGUAGCGGUGAAAUGCGUAGAGAUCAGGAGGAAUACCGAUGGCGAAGGCAGCCAUCUGGCCUAACACUGACGCUGAGGUGCGAAAGCAUGGGGAGCAAACAGG
rnacentral:rRNA from 1 species